rnacentral:rRNA from 1 species
GAGUUUGAUCUUGGCUCAGGAUGAACGCUAGCGGCAGGCUUAAUACAUGCAAGUCGAGGGGCAGCACAGGUAGCAAUACUGGGUGGCGACCGGCAAACGGGUGCGGAACACGUACACAACCUUCCUCUGAGUGGGGGAUAGCCCAGAGAAAUUUGGAUUAAUACCCCAUAGUAUAAGGGAUUGGCAUCAGUCUUUAUUAAAGAUUUAUUGCUUAGAGAUGGGUGUGCGGCUGAUUAGGUAGUUGGCGGGGUAACGGCCCACCAAGCCGAUGAUCAGUAACUGGUGUGAGAGCACGACCAGUCACACGGGCACUGAGACACGGGCCCGACUCCUACGGGAGGCAGCAGUAAGGAAUAUUGGUCAAUGGACGGAAGUCUGAACCAGCCAUGCCGCGUGGAGGAUGAAGGUCCUCUGGAUUGUAAACUUCUUUUAUC